rnacentral:rRNA from 1 species
UACGUAGGGGGCUAGCGUUGCUCGGAAUUACUGGGCGUAAAGCGCACGUAGGCGGUCUUUUAAGUCGGGGGUGAAAUCCUGGAGCUCAACUCCAGAACUGCCUUCGAUACUGGAAGACUUGAGUCCGGGAGAGGUGAGUGGAACUGCGAGUGUAGAGGUGAAAUUCGUAGAUAUUCGCAAGAACACCAGUGGCGAAGGCGGCUCACUGGCCCGGUACUGACGCUGAGGUGCGAAAGCUGGGGGAGCGAACGGG